UUGUAAACAUGCUGCAGCACGUAUGCUUGCUGUAACAGCAAGGUUGUUUAGUUACUUUGUUAAGCUACUUAGUUGAAAUUGAACUAGGUCGGUAUUGUUUUGAUGUUUUUAGGUGCUGAUUGACAUAAUCAGCUUGUGUGCAAGUUAAGUUUUACUUGUUUCAAAGUAUGAUUAGUGGUAGUAGGUAGUAUUUGGUGAUGUAUUUGGCUAUAAAUGUAUUGUUUUUUCUAGUUGAAUGAAUGAGCAAAAUGAGCAAUCGGCCAUAAGCUCCCUUGCUGCACAUUUGUGAGCAAGUAAAAAUAUUUCUUACAUCUUGCUUGAUUGUUCUGUGCUCUCUGUUUUCUUCCUUUGCUCCUCCUCAUCCCCAACAAAUGGUAUCAUGAGCCCAAGUCUUUGAGGGCUUGUUUUUGCUUCUGCUGCUUGUUAAGAAAGACAAGAAGCUGUUAAAGCCUGUCAUCUUUGAGGACUGCUUGUAAAAAAGACAGCAACAUCUCACCCCUGUGAGACUCCCAAACAAGCUUGGGAUAAGCUGAGGAGGAGUUGAUGGAGUAUGUGCAUGAAGACACUCUACAGCAGGAGGGAGUAUGUGCAAGAAGAAACAGGACAGUAAUGAACAAAGAAACAAGGCAAGAUGUGUUUGAAGGGCAAGUUGUCAACCAAGGCUGUGAAGGAGGAGAAGACUCCAUUUGAUGAACAAAUCUUUGGCACAAAAGACUGGAAUAGUCAAGCGUGUAAGUCAGAUUUGGUUGAGAAUGAAGCCAAGGUUGAAAAUGAAUUGCUUGAGCAGAGUCAGCUUGAAACAAAGCAUCUAAGGACUGCCAAGUUCAAAAAACUUGAUGAAUGAUUGGUAUUUGCGGCAUGGAGUCCAAGGAAGAGUGUUGAAAAUUGGCCAACCAUGCUGCUGUUAUAUUUUUGGUUAAGUGCAUGCAGCUUGUAAACAUGCUGCAGCACGUAUGCUUGCUGUAACAGCAAGGUUGUUUAAUUACUUUGUUAAGCUACUUAGUUGAAAAUGAACUAAGUUGGUAUUGUUUUGAUAUUUUUAGGUGCUGAUUGACAUAAUCAGCUUGUGUGCAAGUUAAGUUUACUAGUUUCAAAGUAUGAUUAGUGGUAGAAGGUAGUAUUUGGUGAUGUAUUUGGCUAUAAAUGUAUUGUUUUUUCUAGUUGAAUGAAUGAGCAAAAUGAGCUAUCAGCCAUAAGCUCCCUUGCUGCACAUUUGUGAGCAAGUAAAAAUAUUUCUUGCAUCUUGCUUCAUUGUUCUGUGUUCUCUGUUUUCUUCCUUUGCUCCUCCUCAUCCCCAACAGUUAAUCUACUGCAAAUUCCACCCCUGGAUAUAUUCCCUUCUUUUCAAAUUUCUGGAAGUGUUGUAUGACACAUUGCUUUUGUAUACUUUUCUGUGCAGGUGUUAGUAGACACAAAUUAUUUACCGUGGAACCGGAAAAGCCUUUCAGUGUGAUUCGCCUGUGAUAUCAAACCAUAAUCCAGUAAAUCAUUUAGGCUAUUCCCUUUCUGAAUUAUUUACAAACAAGCUUGUUAUACAUGCUAAUAGAUCAACGAAAGGAAUAUUUUCAGGACAAUGCUAUAUGUUGUGACAAAUGAAUGCAAAGUAGAUAACUUUCUCUUUGAAUAGCUUCCUGUACAUUGAAUACAAUAACGUUAAAAAACCCC
rnacentral:lncRNA from 1 species